UCGGCAAGCCAGGCGAUAGCUCCGACACAAGGUCGGGGAGGAAAGUCCGGACGCCUAAUUAAACGUAGCGGCUAACAGCCGUCGAGCGUAAGCUUAGGGGUGCGAGCAGAGACGUUCGGUUUUGAGAAAAACCGGAAACCCUUCGGGGUUAGCUCUGAUGGAAACAUCGGAGGUGAAACGGCUAAAUCCCUGCGGGGCGCAAGGUCGUACUCCGAAAGGAGAGUGCCGCUAGAGUCUGAGAGCAAUCAAAGACCCAGAUAAAUUAUCGCCCAAGACAGAAUCCGGCUUAUGGCUUGCCCAGUAA
rnacentral:RNase_P_RNA from 1 species